UUGCGCUCAGACUGACAGUAGAGCUGCAGUCCGGAUCAGUUUCAACAACACAGCAGAGUCUUUAGCAUACACAGAGUAUCAACAUGUCGGCUGCAAACUAUCUACUGACUGAAGAGCAGCUUUUGUGCUGCAUCUGUCUGGAUGUGUUCACUGACCCAGUCACAUUACCCUGUGGACACAACUUCUGCAAAAACUGCAUCACACAGCACUUAAAUUUUAAUUCCCAGCACCACUGUCCCAUGUGUAAAGAGCGUGUUGAUAAAAAAUAUAAGCUUGGGGUCAAUAUUUUCAUAUCUGACAUGGCUGUUCAGUUCAGACAGUCAGCUGGAAAGAAAGCCAGCAACAGCUCAGUACAACACGUUGCCAAAUCUGGAAACGUUUCGUAUGACGUUCCUACUAGACCUAAACGGACAGCCCUGAAGUCCUACCUGUUGUUAGCAUUAGGUUUGGUGUGUCUGACCAUCUACUUUGCAACUAAUGUAAAGAUUCAUCAAACAGUGUACAGCCUGAAAACUGAUCAGCUGUUUGAUACUGUGGAGAACGUGGCAGGCAGCAUGUGUACUGAGCAUGGCAAACCUCUGGAGCUCUACUGCAAGAAUGAACAAAUGCCCAUAUGUCGGUCCUGCACUGACUCAAGUCACAUAUUUCACCACAUUGUUCCUCUAAAGGGAGAAUAUGAAGUAAAGAAGGCAGAGCUUAGGACAACAGAGGCUACAAUUCAGCAGAAGAUCCAGGAGAGACGACUGAAAAAUCAGAAAAUCAAACAUUCGGUAAAGCUCAGCAAGGAAGCUGCAGACAGAGAGAUGGCAGAUGGUGUUCAGGUCUUCACCACUUUGAUACAGUCUUUGGAAAGAGCCAAGGCCAAGUUCAUCGGGAUGAUUGAAGAGAAGCAGAAAAUGACAGAGAAACAGGCCAAAGGUUUCACCGAAGAGCUUGAGCAGGAAAUCUCUGAGCUGAUGAGGAGCCGGACUGAGGUGGAGCAGCUCUCACGCUCAAAAGACCACCUCCACUUCCUCCAGAGCUUCCCGUCCCUGAACGCUGCUCCACUCACUAAAGACUGGACAGAGAUCAGCAUUUGUCCAGCAUCAUAUGAAGGAAUCCUGAGGACAGCUAUGGUGAGUGCUGUGGAUCAGCUGACAGACACAGUCAGAAAUGAGAUUAAGAAGCUGCAUGAAGCUGAGCUGAAGACCGUCCAGCAGAAUGCAGUGGAUGUGACUCUGGAUCCUGAUACAGCACAUCCUGCUCUCAUCCUGUCUGAUGAUGGGAAACAAGUACACAUUGGUGAUGUAUGGAAGAAAGUACCAGACAACUCAAAAAGAUUUGAACUUGCAAUUGUUGUCUUGGGAAAACAGAGUUUCUCUUGUGGAAAAUUUUACUAUGAUGUUGAAGUUAAAGGAAAGACUUCAUGGAUAUUAGGAAUGGCCAAAGAGUCGGUCAACAGGAAGACAGAAAUCAAACAAAACCCUGAGAAUGGCAUCUGGGCUAUAUUUCUGAGGAAUAGAAAACAGUACUUUGCACUUGCUAGCCAGUCUGUCCUUCUCUCGGUGAAUUAUCAUGUUGAAAAGGUGAGAGUGUUUGUGGAUUAUGAGGAGGGUCUGGUUUCCUUUUAUGACAUGGAUGCUGCAGUUCUUCUCUACUCAUUUACUGGCUGCACCUUCACUGAGAAACUCUACCCAUUCUUCAGUCCUGGUACUAAUGACGGUGGCAGAAACUCCGCCCCUCUGAUUAUCUCUCCUGUCAAUCAAUACGCAGUAAACUAAUUAUUAUUUUUUCAAAACCCUUCUAUUUUUUAUACUUAAAGCAGCAACACAUUAAUUAUGGCUAAAUCUAGUCUAAUAUAAUCAUAUAUAUUAUAUAUCUUAUCAGGUUCAGUAUGUUUCUAAAAAUCUUUAGUCAGGGUGAAGGUUAGCCAACGGGGAUACAAACAGAGAACUGUAACAAUAUACAAUAUAUAUAAUAUAGUACCAGGCUGUCCUGGGAAGAUGCUGGAUGGUGCCAGUCAACUACAGAAUAGUGCUGAGAAGGCGCUAGACUGUGAUGAGAAGACAAUUGGUGGCUCGCAGGAAGAACUAGAAUGCAUUGGACAGGAAGCCUACGGCAUUGUGAAGGCACUGAGCAGGCAUUGGCAGACUUAGUGUGCACCCACGGUGAGCGGUAAGGUUUAGAGAAUCUUCAAAAUGCGAAUCAAUGAUAUGUCUGACUUUUAAAAAUGCUGGGUAAUUUCAGUGCUCAGUGAUUUCUGGAAGAUUUUGGGAUUUCGGGGGAGAUCACCCAGCACUGAAACACGUAAUCAAGUACUUUAACAAUACUGGCCUCAGAGGGGUUAUUGUCUGAAGAAUUUACAAAGAAAAACAUUACAUUUAAGGCAAAAUGUAUCAGCAAGUAUGGGCACAUUUUUACUGUUACAGAAGCCUCAUCCUCUAAAAUCUUUUUCAGCAAGUAAGGGGAAACAAAGAAAAUGUCGAGGAUGGAAGAGAUGUUUGGUUAAGAGGAUCAAAACAGACAAAAGGCUGAAGCAGAAUGGCAAAAGGUGCACUUUGGGGAAAAGACAAAAAUUUCAUCCUCCUCAAGGACCCCUACAACCUCUUAAAAGACUCCUGGCUGCAACUAGAACCUCCUCAAUGAAACCUGGGACCUCCUCAAACACCCCAUGACCUUGCAACCUCCUCAAGGAGCACAGUAACAUCCUCAGGGACCACUGCAACCUAACCUACUCAAGGUUCACUGCAAUCUCUUCAAGAACUGUACAAUCCUUUCAAGGACCCCUACAACCCUUUCAAGGACCCCUACAGCCCUUUCAAGGACCUCUACAACCUCUUCAGGAACCACAUAACAGUCUUCUCAGGGACCCCUACAACUUCAAUCUUCAAGACACCUACAACCCCUUUAAGGCCCCUAAAGCUUCCCCACUGGACCCUCUCAGGCAGUGGUGGGAGAAGUAUUUAUAUUUUAUACUUAAAAGUAGCAAUACCACAGUGUAGAAAUACUGUUGUUAAGUAAAAGUCCUGCAUUUAAAAUGAAAGUAAAAGUACAAAAGUAUCAGAAUCAGCCUCUGGGUAAAAUCAUGUUAUGUAGGUAAUUAUGGACCUAUCAUGAAAGACAUCGCACGGGGAUAUACACUAUUUUAGUAAACCUUCUUCAAAUGCCAUUAAAUGUUGUAGUUUAGAGCUGCAACCAACAGAUGGUGCCAAAUCACCAUGAACCCAACCUGGUGCCACCGAAGCCUCCUGCAGUUUUCAGCUGGUUUCUGUCAAAGCAAGACCUCUUCCCUCUUUAUUCGUGGUGUGAGUCUUACUUAAAGGAAUGAAUGUCAAAAUUUUGGAUCACUGCAGGGUUACCAGCAGAAGACCUGGGCCUAGAGUUUAAAGACAUAAAAUCCAAAAUGUUUAAGUUUAGGUGUUAAAAUGGUUAAUAUUAUGUGGAAACUGGUUCUGUUUAUGUUAAGGUUAGGGAGAGUUUGGGUCAGAUUUUUAGGGUAGAAAUCUGUGCCCAUCAUUAUUUGUUUAUGAAUCAUAUUUUAUUGUUUUUACAGUAUGAAUAAACAAACCGAUUAUCUAAUAGCAAAUCAUAGUCUGAAAAACAAUAUAUACAGCAAAUUGACGGAAUAAAUGUUUAAUGCUGCCACUUGGGGGCACCAAAGUAGAAUCUUUCAAAUUCCAUACAAACUUUUAACUGGUUUUAACUGUAAACACCACUAAACGCUAACUUUUUAUAUUAAGAAAAGGUGAAAUGUGCUGAAUGAGUCACUUUUAAGGGUAAAAUACCUGAAUUUAACCCUCAUUAGACCGAAGUGAAGCUCUGAAUGUUUAUCAGUCUUCUCAGUCUGUCUCUAAAUUCAAGAUUAAGGACUUUAAUUAUUUAAUUUAUGUUUAAUUUAAGGUUGACAACCCCUUAAACUCAUAUGAAACAUAAUUUUCUCUGAAUAAUAAGGUUAUUAUUGAAUACCAUGACUAUAGCAGAUAGAGACUGACAGCACGAAUGAAUAAUAAUCAGUUCAAAACAUUUAUUAUCAUGAAUUCAAACAUUUUGGAUUUUCUUAUACUCAUCAGUAUUAGUAAAUCAGUAUUAGUAAAUCGUAAGUCCCUAUAGCAUCCUCAAGGACUCAAACAACCACAACGACCCCUACAACCUCCUCAAUGGCCUCUACAACAUCUUCAAGGAUUGCUACAACCUCCUUAAGGGCCUCUACAACCUCCUUAACGAUCUAUACAACCCUCUCAAGGAUUCCUACAACAUCCUCACGGACUAAAAAGUGCUCCAGGACUCCUACGGACUCCUACAGCCUCCUCAAGGUCCACGACAACUUCCUCAAGGAACCCUACAACCUCUUCAGGGACCCCUUCAAUGUGCUCAGGAAAUCCUACAACCUCAUCAAUGAUGCCUGCAACCUCCUUAGGGGCUCUUACAACCUCCUCAAUGAUCCUACAACCUCUUCAUCGGGGUUGCCAACUCUCACACAUUGACCGUGGGACUCUCACGCGACACGUCCAUUUUCUCACGCAGUAAUGUAUGAAUCAACUCCGCCCAGCUGAUGCGACACCAGCAUAUGCAGGGAUAGUAAUCUAGUGGACCCACUCUUGUGCUGUGAGUCGCAGACAGUUUGUGACUAGAGUGGUAAUGGUAAGCCUACUGGUAGAGUUUUGCGAUGGAAAAAUGUAAAAAAUUAAGCGUCGCCAACAACAGCAAGUUUGAUGAAUUGAUCUCUGUCUGUCAUUGAUUAAUUGAUGUCUUUUACCAUGUUGUGAAUGUAAAAGUUAAGUAUGCAUACAUGAAGGUAAGAAGGAACAUGUUCCUAUAUUAGCCAUUACUUUUAUGACAAUGAGAUGGUGGCUAUACAAUGUUUUUUAUUUUUAUAUUUUUUUAA